GGUCAAAGUCUAGAGCGGCUUGAAAAGCCAUCGAGCACGCCUAACGAAGUACACGCGCAUCGAAAGCGAAGAGUCGUCUAAAAAUGACUUCUGUGGAAACCGAAAACCAGCCAGUGGAGGACCCCGAGACGUUCGUAGCGAUGGAGGAGAACGGCGCACCGAGAGACCCUCAGGUGGCUGUUUCCGCUCUGGAUGAAGCUGCGGAAGAGGGAGCGCUUUCUGGUGGAGAGCGUGAGCCCGCGGCGGCGGGCGAUGAUCUGUCGAACCCCCAUGUUUUCAAGAUGGCUGCACGAGAGGUGGAUGAAGGCUACAUGUCUGUUAUUCGAGGACUGAGCGCUUUUGGCCGCGAGGAUGAAGAAGUCUGUCGAAAUGCUGUGGACAUCUGCAAGGAUAUUAUCGCGAUGGAGCAGAGCCUUUUUUCCGAAGUUCCCAGCUACGUUACGAACUACGCCUCCAUGCAACGCGCAAAGACAGUCGUGUGGAACAAAGCAGUCCGGCCACACUGGACUAUUCCCACACCAGAGGGACCUCCUCGCACUUGGGAAGAGCAGCGCGCGUACGUUGAUCCAGGUGUGCCACUGAUGCUUCCGUACAACGCUGAGCGGUUCAAGAAGGAGCAUCCCGAGCGAGCCCUGGCCGAGGGCACGUACCACAAUCUCUUUUAUGGCGAUGGUACACAGGUCGUCUUCCCCGCUUCGGCCGACAACAAGAGGAAGCAAAUCGAAGAGGAGCACAGAAAGCAUCCUCAUCCGUCGUAUCACGGGCCGUACGUUUUUAAGCCACAGCAGAAGAAGCCCAUGCGUGUUGCUUCCGAUUUUGUUCCUUCGUGCGCAGAGCCUGACAGACCACGCGUUGCCCUGCGGAAGAAGCCAGUGAACAAGACGAAAGCGGAGAAGUCACAGAAGAAAGUGACCACGAAGUAGGCGCCGUAUUUCCUCUGUCAAACAGAAUUUGCCG
rnacentral:misc_RNA from 1 species